rnacentral:lncRNA from 1 species
UUGAGACAUGAUCCGAACUAUUUUAAAAGAACCAUGGGGGAUAGUCAGAUUCUAAAAUUAAACUCAUUCUACUUUUCAGAUCGGAUUUGCAUUUACUGAAUUCUGACCCAACCUGGCCAAAUCUUUCUAAGUUGAUUUGGAUCUUAUGCUCAAUGAUCCAACCCAAUCCAACUGGACUCGAUUUAUUCAUUAUCUUUUGGAUAUGGAUUUUUUUAAGACAUGUUUUACAAUGUUAUCUUAAUUUGUCUAUCAAAAAGAAUAAUAUGUG